rnacentral:lncRNA from 1 species
UUAAUGCAAAAAAAUUACCAUCCUUCUAAACCUGCAUUUCUUAAUUUCUAAGAAAGAGAUAGGACCAAAUAUGUCUAUAAAAGAACAAAAUAUGUCUGUGCCUACCUUGUGCCAAUGCUUGAAACAUGUGGAGUUGAAGCAAGAGAAACGCCCACCAUCCACGACAGAAGAAAAAGAAACAUAGGUUGAACUUUAUCAUUUGUUUUCUCCAACUAUUCCUUCGUGCCAUAAUCUCUCCUCCGACUUCUCUUCCAAUCAUUAUAUCCUCCCUGACUGCCUUCAGAUCCAAAUGCACGUUUUCAUCAUCAUUCCUCCCAGCCCACUGUGAGGCUGGGCUUUCUUUGGUUAAGUAGGAACUUGUAUUCCUGUUGCUCCGACACUGAAGUUUGGGGGAUACUGGCUUCUCUUGUUCAUGAGAGGCAAGGACCUGGUGGCUUGUGCUCACUUUACAUGCAACCCGAAGGCAAUAGUCUGUAUGCAUGACUGUAUUAUAAUCGCCAUCUAAAUCAAUGUAUCUUGUAGAAGUAUUGAUUGCACCAAAACAACCAGUCAGAAAUGUGAAGCACAUGUUUCUCUGCCUUGUCACAUCCAAUGCCUUCUACACAGGCUGAGACACAGCAAGUUUACUGACGCUGGCUAGUAUUUCCGUAAAUCUGGAUCCUUCAUCGCAGCACUAUAACAAACACGAGAUUGUUCCAUUCUACCCAGCCAGCAACUGAAGACGGCAAGCCAGAGAGUACCUUUCAUAUACCGCAAAGAGGACGAAAACUAUAUUCCCAUUAAAUUUUCACUGAUCAUGAGUUUAGGAGAGAGGAGAGACGACGUUUCCUUAGCCUCACUUCCAGCCCCCCUGCUUGCUACCCACAGAGAGCAGAGAAGGAAGGCUCCCUCCUUCUCCCCUAACUUGACUGCAAGCUGAGACUGGUCUCCGGAACUGAAGUCCAGCCAGGAACUCAUCCCCCGGGAGUCUCUGUGCUUGCCGCUGUGUUCCCUUGCUACCCAUUGCUAGGCGUCACGCCUCGUGGGGGAGUCUUCUCGAGCAGGAUUAAAAGACAGAGAAGAAGAAAACAUUGUAACCUUAACUGGAAACGAACAAUUUGCUCUACUGGGUUUCUAAUUACUAGUAGCAAAGCAUAAUGGCUGCAAAUCUGCUUCCUGGAGAGUUUGGAAGUUCUGCUUAUAGAUUUGAAGGUCGUCUUUGUCCUAUAAAGAAGGGGACGUGAUGGGCGCUUUUCUUGAUAAAUAAAGUAAUCCAGGGACCAGAGCUUCAUG